rnacentral:rRNA from 1 species
GGGGAAUAUUGGACAAUGGGGGCAACCCUGAUCCAGCCAUGCCGCGUGAAGGAUUAAGGUCCUCUGGAUUGUAAACUUCUUUUAUAAGGGACGAAAAAAGGUCUUUCUAGAUCGUCUGACGGUACCUUAUGAAUAAGCACCGGCUAACUCCGUGCCAGCAGCCGCGGUAAUACGGAGGGUGCAAGCGUUAUCCGGAUUCACUGGGUUUAAAGGGUGCGUAGGCGGGCAGGUAAGUCAGUGGUGAAAUCCUAGAGCUCAACUCUAGAACUGCCAUUGAUACUAUCUGUCUUGAAUAUUGUGGAGGUAAGCGGAAUAUGUCAUGUAGCGGUGAAAUGCUUAGAUAUGACAUAGAACACCUAUUGCGAAGGCAGCUUACUACGCAUAUAUUGACGCUGAGGCACGAAAGCGUGGGGAUCAAAC